rnacentral:lncRNA from 1 species
AGGUUAAGAUUUCAGUGCUGCAAGGGAAUGAGUGACCGCAGGACAUUGAACUGCCUCCAUCCUUCAUCAGCUCCACAGGAGGAGCAUCCCAGCUCCUUGCAGACUGACUCCUUCCUCAGAUAUGCUGGACAGCCACCUCUUGGUCCCAGGAAACCACUGAGCUGAGGGAAUAGGUCAAGAAAUGGAUGAGCUUCAUGAAGUUUUGGAUCAAAAACUUUCAGACUUCCUGAAGUUAUAUUGCAGGCCUGUGGACUGUGCUGUAAACUUAAACAUUGCCAUACAUUUUGCCAAAUAUUUUAGAUGUAUCAGAGAAUUUUAAUGUCUUUUACAACUGCUGUACAGCAAAAUCCAUGGUGUCUUAACAGAUUUUUCCAUUUAUAGGUGAGUGCUUAAGUAUUCUAUUUUCAACAGUAUCAUCUUCUUACAACACAGGAAACCCAAAGAAGAUUUUUAAUUAGCUCCUCUUCUAUAAAUUUAGUCUUUUCAUUAUUCAUUCCAGCCUAAUCAUACAUGGGACACUAAAAUGGAUAAAUUUGGGAUAUCAGCUUUUACCAUCAAGAAUUGUGGUGUGUCAAAGCAGUCUUUAAAAAGAGAGAAAGUUAGUAUCUAUCCGUUUAUCCAUUAAAUGUCUUCCAGGAAUUUUGUUUGGCAAAAAUAGAGGUGUUACUUUUGCUGAUUUCUCCUCAGCUUUCCAAUGACCUUGAAUCAUGCUGAUUGUUUCAGCAGGGGAGCAUGGGGACCAUUCUUCAGUUCACCUUCCAAAAUCAAAGAAAAAAGCAUUUCUGAAUGUACUAUGUAGCAAAAAAAUUAUCUUGCAAAUUGCUCAGAAGUGACCACAGCAGUGAAUAUUCUUUAUAAGGCUAAAAUGUGAAGAAUAAUUUCUAUCUGUUACCAUUUUGAUUUUUAUCACCACACCUUCCAGUGGUCUUUGAAUACAUUGCAUUCCUUUAGAGUUACAGACCAGAAAAGACUGAACUUUCAUUUUCAUUUUGAUGCCAUUUCUUCAUAGGAGAGAUGAAAAUAAAUGC